rnacentral:rRNA from 1 species
AGAGUUUGAUCCUGGCUCAGAUUGAACGCUGGCGGCAUGCCUUACACAUGCAAGUCGAACGGUAACAGGUCUUCGGAUGCUGACGAGUGGCGAACGGGUGAGUAAUACAUCGGAACGUGCCCGAGAGUGGGGGAUAACGGAGCGAAAGCUUUGCUAAUACCGCAUACGAUCUACGGAUGAAAGCAGGGGACCGCAAGGCCUUGCGCUCAUGGAGCGGCCGAUGGCAGAUUAGGUAGUUGGUGGGAUAAAAGCUUACCAAGCCGACGAUCUGUAGCUGGUCUGAGAGGACGACCAGCCACACUGGGACUGAGACACGGCCCAGACUCCUACGGGAGGCAGCAGUGGGGAAUUUUGGACAAUGGGCGCAAGCCUGAUCCAGCCAUGCCGCGUGCAGGAUGAAGGCCUUCGGGUUGUAAACUGCUUUUGUACGGAACGAAAAGACUCUGGAUAA